rnacentral:rRNA from 1 species
UAGGGAAUCUUCCACAAUGGGCGCAAGCCUGAUGGAGCAACACCGCGUGAGUGAUGAAGGGUUUCGGCUCGUAAAGCUCUGUUGUUAAAGAAGAACACGUAUGAGAGUAACUGUUCAUACGUUGACGGUAUUUAACCAGAAAGUACACGGCUAACUACGUACCACG